rnacentral:miRNA from 1 species
GCUGACACAUCCCAGCCAAUCUCCAGCAGACCCUCCCUCCCAGACCCUCCCAACUCCUGGACAGCAUCCAUGUUGAAGGCAGCUUCAACAUGGAUGCUGUCCAGGAGAUGGGAGGGUCUGGGAGGGAGGGUCUGCUGGAGAUUGGCCGGGAUGUGUCAG